GACAGAGGGGGCAAGCGUUGCUCGGAAUUACUGGGCGUAAAGGGCGCGUAGGCGGGAUGGCAAGUCGGUCGUGAAAUCCCUCGGCUCAACCGAGGAACGUCGAUCGAUACUGCUGUUCUUGAGGAUUGCAGAGGAGACUGGAAUUCCCGGUGUAGCGGUGAAAUGUGUAGAGAUCGGGAGGAACACCGGUGGCGAAGGCGGGUCUCUGGGCAACUCCUGACGCUGAGGCGCGAAAGCGUGGGGAGCAAACGGG
rnacentral:rRNA from 1 species